GGGCCCGCACAAGCGGUGGAGUAUGUGGUUUAAUUCGAUGCAACGCGAAGAACCUUACCAGGGUUUGACAUCCUGCGAAUCUCUUGGAAACUUGAGAGUGCCUUCGGGAGCGCAGUGACAGGUGGUGCAUGGCUGUCGUCAGCUCGUGUCGUGAGAUGUUGGGUUAAGUCCCGCAACGAGCGCAACCCACGUCUUUAGUUGCCAGCAUUUAGUUGGGCACUCUAGAGAGACUGCCGGUGAUAAACCGGAGGAAGGUGUGGAUGACGUCAAGUCAUCAUGCCCCUUACAUCCUGGGCUACACACGUACUACAAUGGCGAUGACAGUGGGCAGCGACCCCGCAAGGGUGAGCUAA
rnacentral:rRNA from 1 species